UUACGGCCAUAUCAUGUUGAAACACCGGUUAUCGAACGAUCACCGAAGUUAAGCAACAUCGAGCCUGGUAAGUACCUAGAAGAGUGACCGCUUGGGUAUUCAAGAUGCU